rnacentral:lncRNA from 1 species
CGUGUGUGCUAUUGAAAAUAAAACAAACAAGAAUGACUUGUGUGCUAUUUAGCCAACAAUAGUCCCUGCAUUCUUAGUAUGUAUUUUUGAUGGCGGAUAAAGAUAGUAUGUAUUAUCAUGGUUGAGAGAAAAGAGGUCUCAGUAUGCAUCAUCGACGAUGGGGGAAAGUUAUUAUAAGUAUUGACAGUCGAGCCUCGGGAAAGGGGGUUGUAGAUAUGCAUGAUCAAGGUCAAACAAAACAGUUCUAAUACGUAUUUAUAAUAAUAUCAGGGGAAUGGAGCCAAAGUCUGCAUUGUAAAGGCUGAAGGAAAAUAAUAUUAAUGUGUUUGCUUUUAAAACAUGUUCUCAUCGCAAUUAACAGGGUGAUUCAAAUUACAUCCAUGGGAUGUACUCGCCUACGUCAUAAUUCACCUGUGUAAGAUACAGUAGCUUUAGC